UUACGUUGGCUAUAUCUAUACUAAAAUUGGAAUGAUAUAGAGAAGACUAGUAUUGCCUCUCCUGAAGGAUGACAAAUUCAUUAGGAACUGCUCCACCAUUUU
ensembl:snRNA U6 U6 spliceosomal RNA